GCCUGGCAGGCUCAGUGGGAAAAGCAUAAGACUUUUGAUCUUGGAGUCAUGAGUUUGAGCCCCAUGUUGGGUA
rnacentral:tRNA from 1 species